GAAAUCAACCACAGAAGAAAGUGCUACAGCUAAGCAACCAAUCAGCAUUUGUGCUUCCUUUUACGGAAAACUCUUUAGAUAGCUAUCAGUUUUGUUACUCUGUCAACUGCUGGACAUCAUCAGACAUGGGUGGGCUGCACAUAGUUCUGGCUGUUCUCUUAGGACAGGUUUCCUGCAGUCAUGGUCAAAUGUUUGGAUCAGUGGUGGAGGUCACAGUCAAACCAGGAGACAACUUCACUCUCUACUGUGACUGCAAAGUGGCAACUGGAGUUUACAUAGUGUGGUUCAGGAACAGCUACAAUGAGAACAAGCCCACUCUCAUUAUGAAAACAUUUCAACGAAAGAACUACAACCCUGAUGGUACCAAUUAUCUCAUGUCCAUCUUAAAUUUUCACUUUGUGAGGAAUUCUUCUUCGAAUUCCUAUGACCUGCUGAUUAAGGACUUCACUGAUUCUAAUGAGGGUCUGUACUACUGCGGAACAGAAGAGAGCAAGGUGGAGGACGAAGAAUACAUAACCCAAAAAUUGAUUUACAAUUACGGCAAUAUUACAAGACUCAUAUGUAGUAAGUAUUUUUUUCUGAAUGUGUGAAUGUUAUACAGGUUACAGUGAAUAUUAUUUUGUAUUAUUUAAACAUUUGGCUGCACCAGGAGGAAUGUAUUAUUUUAAUUUCCCAAAGAUUCCAGCACAUGUACUGUGUAGUAAGUAUAAUGUAGUAAUUUUGCUUCAGUCAUUCCUUUAUUAAUGUUAUAUGAUAUGUGUAUUUAUGCUGAAAAUGAAACAAAUGCAAUGAAAUUCACUUAUUCCAGACUCCAGCCUUCAGGUUCCACAUGACGAGAGGCAACAAGGCUGUGGUUCCUGCUGGACGCUGCUGUUUGCUCUGUGUCCCGUAUUUGCCAUUUUCUCCUGUCUUCUCACCUCACUAGUGGUUUAUUACCGAUGUCAGAACAAAGGUAUCAACUUUAGGUUGAAUCUAACACUGUACAUGUAACAUUUUAAAAGGCAUUUGGACUCCAUUUAACCUAAAAAGAAAGAAAGUAUAUGAACAUACUUUGUUUGUUUGAGACGCUUUAAUGUUUAUUUAUUUCUGUAGUUGGAAAAGUCAAUCAACAACUGGACACUGGUGGUCAAACAAGACAGAAUCAGGUAAUUCAUAGAUUCAUACUUAAAUGAACAUGAUAAAUCAUAGCAUUGACAAUUUAAAACUAUAACUGCAUUUUAGGAGGGAGAUCUUUGUUAUGCUGCACUGGAAAUUCGUCAACCAUCACAGAGGCCAAGGACGAAGAAUCGCAAGAGCUCUGACUUCAGCACCUAUGCUGCCAUUAAUACUUCGAGUCUGUAGAGGGAUUUAAAAUUUAAAAAAAACACUGUGAAUAAUGAGAUAGGUAAUUCAGCUUUCCACAUUUGACUGUAAAUACCUGUUUUCAUUAACUCUAAUGUGAAGUCCAACAUUUUUGUAAUCUACACCACUAAACUAAUGGAUUUGCUGUAUUUCUUUAAAUUGUUUUUUUAAGACAUACAGGCCACACAGUCGCCAGGAUGUAACACAGUAAACUUUGACUGAUCAUUGUUAGUAAAGGCAACAGGAAAACUACCACAUGAAAGAAACCAGUGGACAUUUAAAGGUUAACGUAGGUUAACGUACAAACAAACUGAAUCUUCCACUUACUUCAAAAAUAAAGCUGUACUAACUUUUACUGAAGUUACA
ensembl:lncRNA uncharacterized LOC114855224